UCGGGAAUUUUGGGCAAUGGGCGAAAGCCUGACCCAGCAACGCCGCGUGAAGGAUGAAGUAUUUCGGUAUGUAAACUUCGAAAGAAUAGGAAGAAUAAAUGACGGUACUAUUUAUAAGGUCCGGCUAACUACGUGCCAGCAGCCGCGGUAAUACGUAGGGACCAAGCGUUGUUCGGAUUUACUGGGCGUAAAGGGCGCGUAGGCGGCAUGACAAGUCACUUGUGAAAUCUCUGGGCUUAACCCAGAACGGCCAAGUGAUACUGUCGCGCUAGAGUGCAGAAGGGGCAAUCGGAAUUCUUGGUGUAGCGGUGAAAUGCGUAGAUAUCAAGAGGAACACCAGUGGCGAAGGCGGCUACCUGGACAGGUACUGACGCUGAAGCGCGAAAGCUAGGGGAGCAAACAGGAUUAGAUACCCGAGUAGUCCCUGAGCGGGCUGGCAAGGCGCAU
rnacentral:rRNA from 1 species